UACGAAGGGGGCUAGCGUUGCUCGGAAUCACUGGGCGUAAAGCGCACGUAGGCGGCUUUCUAAGUCAGGGGUGAAAUCCUGGAGCUCAACUCCAGAACUGCCUUUGAUACUGGAGAGCUUGAGUCCGGAAGAGGUGAGUGGAACUCCGAGUGUAGAGGUGAAAUUCGUAGAUAUUCGCAAGAACACCAGUGGCGAAGGCGGCUCACUGGCCCGGUACUGACGCUGAGGUGCGAAAGCGUGGGGAGCGAACGGG
rnacentral:rRNA from 1 species